GCUUGUGGAGUGAUUGAUUAAAACCCCGUUUGAUUUUGAUGAGCUCAAAGCAUUUGAGUAUAUCGUGUGAUUACUAAUGAAUUCAAUUGAGUGUUUCAGUGAAAAUCCUGUCCAAGUGUCUCUAGACUUGGUUCAUAGUAUUUUGGAUAAGUUAAGAAGUCUGCAUGAACCAAUGUCUGAGACUCGAGUCGUCUUCCGAGUAUCACGAGUCGACUCCAAGCGUAUCAAGGUCACUGGCACGAGCUCGAGUCGACUCCAGAUCAGUACGAGUCGACUCCGACUGAAAACAGACAGAAGGACAGAAGAGCAGUUU
rnacentral:lncRNA from 1 species